rnacentral:rRNA from 1 species
UCCCUUCUCGGGAAGCUCCCUCGACCCCACGAACCCUUGACCUCAAAUCG